AUUGAACGCUGGCGGCAUGCCUUACACAUGCAAGUCGAACGGCAGCACGGGUGCUUGCACCUGGUGGCGAGUGGCGAACGGGUGAGUAAUACAUCGGAACAUGUCCUGUAGUGGGGGAUAGCCCGGCGAAAGCCGGAUUAAUACCGCAUACGAUCUACGGAUGAAAGCGGGGGCCCUUCGGGCCUCGCGCUAUAGGGUUGGCAGAUGGCUGAUUAGCUAGUUGGUGGGGUAAAGGCCUACCAAGGCGACGAUCAGUAGCUGGUCUGAGAGGACGACCAGCCACACUGGGACUGAGACACGGCCCAGACUCCUACGGGAGGCAGCAGUGGGGAAUUUUGGACAAUGGGCGAAAGCCUGAUCCAGCAAUGCCGCGUGUGUGAAGAAGGCCUUCGGGUUGUAAAGCACUUUUGUCCGGAAAGAAAUCCUUGGCCCUAAUACGGUCGGGGGAUGACGGUACCGGAAGAAUAAGCACCGGCUAACUACGUG
rnacentral:rRNA from 1 species